rnacentral:antisense_RNA from 1 species
GUCUACAGUUGAGGAGAGAGGCUCAGGCAGGGCAAGUCCUCUACCCAAGGGCACACAGCCCAGAGCGGGAAGGUUGGAGCCUGGUCAGCCUAGUCUGGUUAAUAAGGUCUUUUCGGGGUUGUGCAAGGCCACCUACAUGCCCCGACCAACUUGCCACAUUGAAAAGUGUGUGCUUGGCUUAUCCAACACCACCUUGUUGUCUAUACAACUACAGCAAGGAGCAUGGAGAGGUUUAGAAGAACUCCUGCCCUCCUUCACUCAUUCUCCUCUGACUCAGCCCUGAGCUCUGCAAAGAUGCACACUCAGCACAAAUACAUCUUCACAUCUUAGUCCAAAUUCUGGAAAGUCUGAAUGCUCAUAACCAGCGUGUUUUGCUGAGAAAACGGGCUGAUGACAAGUCAGCCUACUCUGUCCCUGUACGUGUGUGGCCU